CGAAAGCCUGACGCAGCAACGCCGCGUGCGGGAUGACGGCCUUCGGGUGUAAACCGCUUUCAGCAGGGACGAAUUUUGACGGUACCUGCAGAAGAAGCCCCGGCCAACUACGUGCCAGCAGCCGCGGUAACACGUAGGGGGCGAGCGUUGUCCGGAUUUAUUGGGCGUAAAGAGCUCGUAGGCGGCUCGGUAAGUCAACUGUGAAAGCUCCGGGCUCAACUCGGAGAGGCCAGUUGAUACUGCUGUGGCUAGAGUCCGGUAGGGGAGCGUGGAAUUCCUGGUGUAGCGGUGAAAUGCGCAGAUAUCAGGAGGAACACCAGCGGCGAAGGCGGCGCUCUGGGCCGGAACUGACGCUGAGGAGCGAAAGCGUGGGUAGCAAACAGGAUUAGAUACCCUGGUAGUCCACGCCGUAAACGUUGGGCACUAGGUGUGGGUCUCAACCAACGAGAUCCGUGCCGUCGCUAACGCAUUAAGUGCCCCGCCUGGGGAGUACGGCCGCAAGGCUA
rnacentral:rRNA from 1 species